rnacentral:rRNA from 1 species
UGUUUGAUGUUCUAACGUGGACCCGUGAUCCGGGUUGCGGACAGUGUCUGGUGGGUAGUUUGACUGGGGCGGUCUCCUCCUAAAGAGUAACGGAGGAGCACGAAGGUUGGCUAAUCCUGGUCGGACAUCAGGAGGUUAGUGCAAUGGCAUAAGCCAGCUUGACUGCGAGCGUGACGGCGCGAGCAGGUGCGAAAGCAGGUCAUAGUGAUCCGGUGGUUCUGAAUGGAAGGGCCAUCGCUCAACGGAUAAAAGGUACUCCGGGGAUAACAGGCUGAUACCGCCCAAGAGUUCAUAUCGACGGCGGUGUUUGGCACCUCGAUGUCGGCUCAUCACAUCCUGGGGCUGAAGUAGGUCCCAAGGGUAUGGCUGUUCGCCAUUUAAAGUGGUACGCGAGCUGGGUUUAGAACGUCGUGAGACAGUUCGGU